UCUGACGAGCACGCCGCGUGAGUGAAGAAGGUUUUCGGAUCGUAAAGCUCUGUUGUCAGCAAAGAACAGGAGAAAGAGGCAAUGCUUUUUUCUAUGACGGUAGCUGACCAGAAAGCCCACGGCUAACUACGUGCCAGCAGCCGCGGUAAUACGUAGGUGGCAAGCGUUGUCCGGAUUUAUUGGGCGUAAAGCGAGCGCAGGCGGUGAUUUAAGUCUGAUGUGAAAGCCCCCAGCUCAACUGGGGAGGGUCAUUGGAAACUGGAUCACUUGAGUGCAGAAGAGGAGAGUGGAAUUCCAUGUGUAGCGGUGAAAUGCGUAGAUAUAUGGAGGAACACCAGUGGCGAAGGCGGCUCUCUGGUCUGUAACUGACGCUGAGGCUCGAAAAGCGUGGGGUAGCAAACAGGAUUAGAUACCCUGGUAGUCCACGCCGUAAACGAUGAGUGCUAAGUGUUGGAGGGUUUCCGCCCUUCAGUGCUGCAGUUAACGCAUUAAGCACUCCGCCUGGGGAGUACGACCGCAAGGUUGAAACUCAAAGGAAUUGACGGGGGCCCGCACAAGCGGUGGAGCAUGUGGUUUAAUUAGAAGCAACGCGAAGAACCUUACCAGGUCUUGACAUCCUUUGACCGCCCUAGAGAUAGGGUUUCCCCUUCGGGGGCAAAGUGACAGGUGGUGCAUGGUUGUCGUCAGCUCGUGUCGUGAGAUGUUGGGUUAAGUCCCGUAACGAGCGCAACCCUUAUUGUUAGUUGCCAGCAUUGCGUUGGGCACUCUAGCAAGACUGCCGGUGACAAACCGGAGGAAGGCGGGGAUGACGUCAAAUCAUCAUGCCC
rnacentral:rRNA from 1 species